AAUGCUUCUAGAAGGAGAUAUUGGUGCUAGAAGUUUAGCAUUUAGGUUGGAGUAGGAAGCCACUCAACACUUAAUUGGAUUAUCUUGCAUUUCUCUCAAUUGAUAAGUGCAAUGAAUUUCAUAUUUUUUGUACUUGUUUCUAACUAAGAUAUUAAGAAAUGUGCAAAUUUUGAGUUGAUAUCAAUGGUAUCAUCAUUAAUUAUUGAAGCUCUAUUUUACUAUAGGAUUUAUUAAGAUUUUGUUUAAGAUCUUGGAUUUAAUUAGGGUUUGGUGUAGGAUUUGUCUAUGAUUUGGUUGUAGCUAAGGAUGUUGUCUAAGAUUUGAUUAGAAUUAGAGUUUGGUUUAGAAUUUGAGUACGAUUUGUUUAGGAUUUCAUUAUAUCACGGACAUACAUAUUUAUCCUAAUAUUUACUUAUAUAAUUAAGUAGAAG
rnacentral:lncRNA from 1 species